rnacentral:lncRNA from 1 species
CACGUAGCCACCAGGGAGGCAGGACUCCAGGGCAUCACCUAGGGUCAGCAACCCCAGCCAAGGACACUCCAGUACCAAGGAUGCUCUGGAACUCUCCAUCACAACACAGCAUGCAGCUUCUGAAUGCCAUCAGCAAAGGCUUGACUUACCUCUUCACACUUGGUUUGUGCAUUUUGUUACCAAGCUGAGCGCCUGGCAGGUGGAUGACCAUUUGAGCUAUCAAGAAAAGAGAACUCUUCUCUCAAAAUAUUUAGGUCCAGAGAUAAAAAGCACUAUAUUUUAAAACGGAAUUCCUCCCUACAGAAACGUUUUAUGAAUUACUCAGUUCAGAUUAAGCCUCUCUGAAAAUAAAUAAAUAAAUAAAUGAAACAAUUACUGUGUCCAUUUUUUAUGGCCUGCUCAGCAUGAUUCAGUAAGAG